GCUUAACACAUGCAAGUCGAACGGAAAGGCCUUUUCGGAGGUACUCGAGUGGCGAACGGGUGAGUAACACGUGGGUGAUCUGCCCUGCACUCUGGGAUAAGCCUGGGAAACUGGGUCUAAUACCGGAUAGGACUGCACUUUAGUGUGUGUGGUGGAAAGUUUUUUCGGUGUAGGAUGAGCCCGCGGCCUAUCAGCUUGUUGGUGGGGUAAUGGCCUACCAAGGCGGCGACGGGUAGCCGGACUGAGAGGUUGGUCGGCCACAUUGGGACUGAGAUACGGCCCAGACUCCUACGGGAGGCAGCAGUGGGGAAUAUUGCACAAUGGGCGCAAGCCUGAUGCAGCGACGCCGCGUGGGGGAUGACGGCCUUCGGGUUGUAAACUCCUUUCGCCAGGGACGAAGCGUUUUGUGACGGUACCUGGAGAAGAAGCACCGGCUAACUACGUGCCAGCAGCCGCGGUAAUACGUAGGGUGCAAGCGUUGUCCGGAAUUACUGGGCGUAAAGAGCUCGUAGGUGGUUUGUCACGUCGUCUGUGAAAUUCCACAGCUUAACUGUGGGCGUGCAGGCGAUACGGGCUGACUUGAGUACUGUAGGGGUAACUGGAAUUCCUGGUGUAGCGGUGAAAUGCGCAGAUAUCAGGAGGAACACCGAUGGCGAAGGCAGGUUACUGGGCAGUUACUGACGCUGAGGAGCGAAAGCAUGGGUAGCAAACAGGAUUAGAUACCCU
rnacentral:rRNA from 1 species